rnacentral:lncRNA from 1 species
UACCUUCUACCUUUCUCGAUCGAUCCCCACUCCCAUUAUCCAAGGUUCUUACCCACUACAACGUUCUCUCUCAUACUCUCCAAAUCCACUCCAAAGUUCUCCUCCUGUUCCCCAAAUUCUCCCCAUCGUUCUUCACUCUUCCACUAAAAAUCAAUUUUUUUCUCCACUCUUCCUCAAACUUUGCAACAGAGAUCUAUCUUUUUAGGAAAACUCGUGCAACCAAGAAGCAAGUUCUCGACGAUGAAGAGGUCCCUCCUCCCCUACCUCUUUCACAAACUAGCCCAAGUUGUAAUUGAAUUGAAAACUCGAUGAUUUAUAUUUCACUACUGUAUACCUUUAUAUAAGGUUUGUU